CCUACGGGAGGCAGCAGUGAGGAAUAUUGGUCAAUGGACGAGAGUCUGAACCAGCCAAGUAGCGUGAAGGAUGACUGCCCUAUGGGUUGUAAACUUCUUUUAUAUGGGAAUAAAACGUUCCACGUGUGGGAUUUUGUAUGUACCAUAUGAAUAAGGAUCGGCUAACUCCGUGCCAGCAGCCGCGGUAAUACGGAGGAUCCGAGCGUUAUCCGGAUUUAUUGGGUUUAAAGGGAGCGUAGGUGGAUUGUAAAGUCAGUUGUGAAAGUUUGCGGCGCAACCGUAAAAUUGCAGUUGAAACUGGCAGUCGUGAGUACAGUAGAGGUGGGCGGAAUUCGUGGUGUAGCGGUGAAAUGCUUAGAUAUCACGAAGAACCCCGAUUGCGAAGGCAGCUUACUAAACUGUGACUGACAUUGAUGCUCGAAAGUGUGGGUAUCAAACAGGAUUAGAUACCCGAGUAGUC
rnacentral:rRNA from 1 species